rnacentral:rRNA from 1 species
UAGGGAAUCUUCCGCAAUGGGCGAAAGCCUGACGGAGCAACGCCGCGUGAGUGAUGAAGGUCUUCGGAUCGUAAAACUCUGUUAUUAGGGAAGAACAAAUGUGUAAGUAACUAUGCACAUCUUGACGGUACCUAAUCAGAAAGCCACGGCUAACUACGUGCCAGCAGCCGCGGUAAUACGUAGGUGGCAAGCGUUAUCCGGAAUUAUUGGGCGUAAAGCGCGCGUAGGCGGUUUUUUAAGUCUGAUGUGAAAGCCCACGGCUCAACCGUGGAGGGUCAUUGGAAACUGGAAAACUUGAGUGCAGAAGAGGAAAGUGGACUUCCAUGUGUAGCGGUGAAAUGCGCAGAGAUAUGGAGGAACACCAGUGGCGAAGGCGACUUUCUGGUCUGUAACUGACGCUGAUGUGCGAAAGCGUGGGGAUCAAACAGG